GAUGAAGAACGUAGCGAAAUGCGAUAAGUAAUGUGAAUUGCAGAAUUCAGUGAAUCAUCGAAUCUUUGAACGCACAUUGCGCCCCCUGGUAUUCCGGGGGGCAUGCCUGUCCGAGCGUCAUUACAACCCUCAAGCUCAGCUUGGUGUUGGGCCCCGCCGCCCCGGCGGGCCCUAAAGUCAGUGGCGGUGCCGUCCGGCUCCGAGCGUAGUAAUUCUUCUCGCUCUGGAGGUCCGGUCGUGUGCUCGCCAGCAACCCCCAAUUUUUUUCAGGUUGACCUCGGAUCAGGUGGGGAUACCCGCUGAACUUAAGCAUAUCAAUAAGCGGAGGA
rnacentral:misc_RNA from 1 species